GAUGGGGUGCGCAUCACACUACACGGCGCAUGUUAGUGAAAGUCCCCUCUAUGUCCCCGGAUCCUUCCGUUUCCACUUCUUUAUCUCCGAAAACCUAAUGAACCCCCAAGCCCUCUCUCUCUCUCUCGAACGCGUGUGUGCAAUAUAUAGAUCCAAGAGGUCUUUUGACUCUAUUCUCUCAAUCGGACUUUUCCAGUUCUCGGUCGUUCUCUGCCUCUGCUUUCGCGAUCAAAAAUAGCGCUGUUUCGAUCCUUUUCUCGUGAAAAUUUAAGCAACAAUUGGUUUUGAUUAGAGCAACUUUCCGUUGAUCAAAUUGAAGGUUUUAAGCGACAAUGCGGGGAUAUGAUAGAGAGGAAGAUGAAUACUAUGAUGAAUAUGAGGAGGAAGGUGAAGAGCAAGCAGAGGAGGAGUAUGAAGAGGAAGAAGAACGAAAACCCACUGUAGAGGAAGUGGAAUAUCUUGAAUUAAGGGAGCGGAUUAAAGAACAAAUUAGAAAGAAGAUGCGGAAGGAAAGUGGUUCUACUCCUUCUAAAUCCCAAGAGAAGAAAAAACUCCCAUCUGAUAAUUAUGGUUCAUUCUUUGGCCCUUCUCAACCAGUUAUUUCUCAAAGAGUAAUUCAAGAAAGCAAGUCAAUAAUAGAAAACCAACAUUUGGCUCUCAGAGUUCCAAACGCCCAACAUACUAACAAAAAGAGCUCCUCUUCAACGGCUACAGGUUUAAAAAACAGAGUACAUGGACUUGUACCGAAAGUAAAGAAUGAGGUAAAAACAAAAGUACAAAAACUCAAGGAUACGAGAGAUUAUUCUUUCUUGUUAACGGAUGAUGCAGAGCUCCCAGCUCCUACAAAAGAGCCUGCCCCCAGAAAUGUCUCUGCUCCAAAUUCUGAGGCGAGAUCUGCUCAAGUUCCACAAAAGAUCAAACAAGUUUCCAGCAAUAGUGGCAGAAAUAUUCAUGGCAUUCGUGAAGAAAGGAAGCCAGUUUUCAGGAAUGGCCAAAUGCAUUCUAAAGUAGGGUCACAGAGGCCAACUUCUGCUAAUAAACCUGAUGCGACAUCGAUAAACUCCAAAAGGCAGUUAGGUAGCAACAAUGGGACUGGGCCUGGCCGGCCUGCAGGGCCAAAAUUCUUGCCUUCAAAGACACCUGCUUCCAUCAUGCAGAAGAAGGCCUCAUCACCUAGUGCUAAGAAAAUCCUGCCUGCUAUGCACAAAUCUCUCCCUUCAAACCCUUCAAGGUCAUCUGUUCCAAAGCAACACUGGGAACAGAGAAAAGGAUUACAAGAACCCAAUAAGGCUAGACCGAUACCAAAACAGCCACUGUCAUCUUUAAAAUCUCAGCAGAUAAAUAAGCCAAUCAAGCAAGUGUCGGCUCAUGCAUCAUUACAAGAUAACCGCCCCAGGAAAAAGCCUGUGAGACCGUUUCCUGAUGCAGGCUCUGAUGAUGAGGAUGCUUUCAGUAUGCUCAGAAAAUUAAUUGGAAAUAAAAACCGUGGUAACUAUGAUGACGAUGAUGAUAGUGACAUGGAGGCAAAUUUCGAUGACAUCAUGAAGGAAGAGAGGAGAAGUGCUCGAAUCGCACGAGAGGAGGAUGAAGAGCAACUCCGAUUGAUAGAGGAGGAGGAGCGGCGAGAAAGGGAGAGAAAGCUGGCAAAGAAGCGCAAGCUAAGUCAUCGAUGAGAUGAUGUCCUUAUGACGUGUUCCUGCUCUUAGUUUGGAUUCUUGUUGUCAUUGUUUCUGAAUAUGCUCAGUGUUCUUGAUGGUGUCAGUAUUUAUCAAUAAUACAAAAUGUUUGGAUUACAGAAAUUAAAUCUUGUUUGUGCGUCGACUGAA